rnacentral:rRNA from 1 species
UGGGGAAUUUUGGACAAUGGGCGCAAGCCUGAUCCAGCCAUGCCGCGUGCGGGAAGAAGGCCUUCGGGUUGUAAACCGCUUUUGUCAGGGAAGAAAUCUUCUGAGUUAAUACCUCGGGAGGAUGACGGUACCUGAAGAAUAAGCACCGGCUAACUACGUGCCAGCAGCCGCGGUAAUACGUAGGGUGCAAGCGUUAAUCGGAAUUACUGGGCGUAAAGCGUGCGCAGGCGGUUUUGUAAGACAGAGGUGAAAUCCCCGGGCUCAACCUGGGAACUGCCUUUGUGACUGCAAGGCUUGAGUGCGGCAGAGGGGGGAUGGAAUUCCGCGUGUAGCAGUGAAAUGCGUAGAUAUGCGGAGGAACACCGAUGGCGAAGGCAAUCCCCUGGGCCUGCACUGACGCUCAUGCACGAAAGCGUGGGGAGCAAACAGGAUUAGAUACCCUGGUAGUCCACGCCCUAAACGAUGUCAACUGGUUGUUGGGAAGGUUCCUUCUCAGUAACGUAGCUAACGCGUG